rnacentral:ncRNA from 1 species
UGAUAAUUUGAUUUUAGUUAAUAAUGUUAAUUAUUAUUUUAUAAUACAUGUUAGGUUUAAAUUUAUAUUUAAUCGGUUUUUGUUAGUAUUUUAUACUUAUUGUAAUUAAAUAUUAUAAUAAGUAUAAGUUAUCAGUAAUUAAUAAUUUUAUUAAAAUUAUAUUAUGAAAAUACUCAGUAUUUUAAAUUAUACAAUGAAUGAAAGUUUUAUAUAGAUAUUAUAAGUUAGAGUUGGUUAAUAUUUGUGCCAGCAGCUGCGGUUAUACAAAAUAACUCAAAUUAAAUUAAGAUAGUAGAAAAUAAAGUUAAGCUAUAAAUAUUAAUAGAAAAUUAUAUUAAUAUAUAAAUAAGUAAAAUUUAUUAUUAUUUUGAUUUUUAAAUAUUUCUAUAAUGCUAAUACUUUGAAAAUUUGAGAAUAAACUAGGAUUAGAUACCCUAUUAUUUCAAUAUAGUAAAAUUUGAAUUAUUAUUAUUAUUCUACUAAAGGAUUAAGAAUAUAUGAGAAUUGUAAAUGUAUUUAAAACUUAAAAAAUUUGGCGGUUUCACAUAUCCAAUUAGGGGAGCUUGUUAGUAUAAAAUGAUAUUCCCCGAUUUAAACUCACUUUCUUUUGAAAUAAUUACAGCUUGUGUAUUGCUGUCAAUAAGUUUAUGUUUUAAGAAUUAUUUAAAAGACUUUAAAAUAGAUUAAUUUUUAUGUCAAGUCAAAAUACAGUUAAUGAGAAAGAAUUAAUGAGCUACUUUUUAUGAUUUUUAAUAUUCAAAUUUUUAAGUUUAAUUAUUUAAAUGAGGAGGACUUAAUAGUAAUUUAAAAUUAGUUUGUUUUUAUGAAUAAAAUGGUUUUGUGAAGUGUACAUAUCGCCCGUCGCUCUUGUUGAAAGAUAAGAUAAGUCGUAACAUAGUAAGGGUAAUGGAAAUUGUUCUUGGAGAUAA